AACGAACGCUGGCGGCAUGCCUAACACAUGCAAGUCGAACGAGACCUUCGGGUCUAGUGGCGAACGGGUUCGUAACGCGUGGGAACACGCGCUUAGGAUCGGAAUAACUCCCCGAAAGGGGUGCUAAUAACGGAUAAUGAUAUCGGACCGAAGACUUAUCGGGUUUGGUUGUGGCCGAGUUGUAUUAGCUAGUGGUAAGGUUCAAGGCUAACGAAGGCGAGGAUCCAUAGUGGGUCUGAGAGGAUGCUCAGUGACACUGGGACUGGGACACGGCCCAGACUGGUGCGAGAAGCAGGGGAUGGUAAUCUUGGAGCGCAGGCGAGAUGCUGAGCCAGCACUGCGGGGUGAAUGAUGAUGGCGUUAGGGUUGUAAAGCUCUUUUGCCCGGGAUGAUUAUGACAGUACCUGGAGAAGAAGCUCCGGCUAACUCCGUG
rnacentral:rRNA from 1 species